rnacentral:lncRNA from 1 species
UACAGCCCUACCGCUUUGGGUGGUGCUUGGAGGACCUCCAACCCCACUUCCAUUGUUGAAAGCUGGAAGACCUACACCCCCACUUCUGUAGGUGCUUGGAGAACCUACGACCCUACCACCCUUGUCAGCAGUAGGAGGAUCUCCAGCCCCAUAUCCACUGGUGAUGCUUGGAGGACCUCCAACCCCACUUCCAUGGGGGAUGGCUGGAGGACCUCCAACCCCACUGCUGUUUGUGGUGCUUGGAGGACCUACAUCCCCACUUCCAUGGGGGAUGGCUGAAGGACCUCCAAACCCACUGCUGUUUGUGGUGCUUGGAAGACCUACAACCCCACUUCCAUCAGGGAUGGCGGAAGGACCUCCAACCCCACUGCCACUCAUGGUGCUUGGAGGACCUUCACCCCCCCCCCACUUCUAUGGGUGCUUGAAGAACCUACAACCCCACUUCCAUCAGUGGUUCUUGGAGGACCUCCGACGCCACUUCCAUGGGGGAUGGCUGGAGGACCUCCAACCCCACAUCCAUUGGUGGUUCUCGGAGAACCUCCAACCCCAAAUCUAUUGGUGGUUCUUGGAGGACCUCCAACCCCACAUCCAUCCGUGGUUCUCAGAGGACCUCCAACCCCACAUCCAUCCGCAAUUCUCGGAGAACCUCCCACCCCACUUCCAUGGAGGAUGGCUGGAGGACCUCCAACCCCACAUCCAUCCGUGGUUCUCAGAGGACCUCCAACCCCACCUCCAUGGGGGACGGCUGGAGGACCUCCAACCUCACAUCUAUUGGCGGUUCUUGGAGGGCCUAGACCCUCCCAAUUCUAUGGGUGCUUGGAGGACCUCCAACCCCACUUCCAUGGGGGAUGUCUGGAGGACCUCCAACCCCACAUCCAUCCAUGGUUCUUGGAGGACCUCCCACCCUACAUCCAUCCGUGGUUCUCGGAGAACCUCCAACCCCACUUCCAUGGGGGAUGUCUGGAGGACCUCCAACCCCACAUCCAUCCGUGGUUCUCGGAGAACCUCCAACCCCACUUCCAUGGGGGGCUUCCCGAGGGACCCUCCGCCCCCCGGGACCAGCCCGGACGCCCCGCACGGGCGCAGCGGGGACUCACUUGAGGGUGUCGGGGUCGGCGGUGCCGGUGACGGCGAGCCCGUAGAAGCGCUGCAUGGCGGCGAGGGCGGCCGAGAGCGACUGGGGCGAGCGCUGCGUGUGGGUGCGCAGGUCGCCGGGGGGCAGGUAGCCGUAUUGCUGCAGCCAGGCCUGCGGCCGCGGGGG